UACAGAGGGUGCAAGCGUUAAUCGGAAUUACUGGGCGUAAAGCGCACGCAGGCGGUUGGUUAAGUCAGAUGUGAAAGCCCCGGGCUCAAGCUGGGAAUUGCAUUUGAAACUGGCCAACUAGAGUACGUGAGAGGGGGGUAGAAUUCCAAGUGUAGCGGUGAAAUGCGUAGAGAUUUGGAGGAAUACCAGUGGCGAAGGCGGCCCCCUGGCACGAUACUGACGCUCAGGUGCGAAAGCGUGGGGAGCAAACAGG
rnacentral:rRNA from 1 species